rnacentral:lncRNA from 1 species
CCUCACUUGCCAAAGGGGAUCUGGGUUCUUAACUUUUGUCCUUAGAAAAAGUAAUAAAGAAGAGAGGAACUUUAGUAGAAAAAGCCCUUUUUAUCUCUCUCUCUCUCCUCAUAACUUUUACUUUCUCUCUCCUUCAAUCAUAAAGCAAUCGAUUACAAAAUGAUUUACCACUUCUCUCUCUCUCACAUCCAUCUUUUCUGUUCUGCCAUGAAAGUCCUGUAUCCUUCUGUCCCUUUAGCAUUUACUACUCUCUUUUCGAGGAAUGGGCCAUCAGGGGACUGUAUCUCAUGUCAACUUCUUAUCGUACACCUUUCUUCCAACUCUUAAUCUUUUCUUAUCAACCUUAAUUAUUCACUUUCAUUUUUCCAUUAUUUUUUUACUGUUUUAUCACUUCUUAUUUUUUAUUGAAAAAACGACUUUGUAAAUUUAGAUUUAGAAUUUUUGAACGUUAAUUGCAUAUAAGCAUUAUUCUCUCAAAAAAUAACGAAAUCGUUUUAUUCACAUCACAUUACUAUUGUGCAUUUGAUAAUAAAUUAAAUUUAAUUCUAAAGCAUAAAAUUCGUACUUGGGGCAGGUAAACAAUCACACUUGCACAAUAUUGAAGUAUAGGAUUAUCAAACUCAAAAGAUAUAUACAUUAAUAGAGAAUUUGAAAUAACUAGUCAAUUAGAUUCAACAAACUUCAAAAUACCUAAUCUAUUAGUAAGCAUCUCGAUAGAUGUGUUUAUUUCACCAAAUUCCCAUAUCUAUCUUCUAUUAUUGAAUGUGGCAUUAAUUACUUGUGAAAAACUCACUAUACUUGAUUAUCGUUAUAGAUAAGAGCAGGGUUGAUCAAAAUUCACACCCACCAAUUCUCCUAUCAUUAAAUGAUGAGCUUUUUUAAGCUUCCAAAACUAGGAAAAGCCCCUUUUGAUAAUCAACUUUUUGACCUUCAGAUCAUAAAUUUUGGUAAAUGAUCGGUGGGAUCUAAAAUAUGUAGCUUUUAACAAUGACCCUAACCUAGGAGUGUAGGGUAUUUAAGAACUUUGACAAAACUAUUUCCUCUUCAAGCUAGCGCAAGUUUUUUCUUCGUAUUAAAUGACCAUCACCUAUACAAUAAAACAUUCAAAUUUUAUUUGGAAAUUAUUUAUAUGUGAUGGGAUUUAUUUUGGGGUGUGGGGAGUGGGGAUUAAAUGAAGGGGCGUGGUAGUUGUGAGGAGUGAUGGAGAUGGAUGAUGUGAGUGGUAUUAUCUAUGUUAAUUAUAAUGUGGGCAUGCAAAUGUACAAAUAUUACACAUUCUAUUUGGGAGAAUAAAUGAAUAAAUAUAUUCGGUCGUCAAAAGGGAUGAUUCAUUUUACACAGCCUUUUGUUCCUUUCUUUUAAUUCCUUUCAUUUGGCCCUACACUGCAACUCUGUUACUCUGUUUACCCCCCCUCUAUAUCUGUCGACAUAUACACACGCACAAUUUAUAAAUUUUUUGUUUCCCAAUUUUUCAAAUUUCUUUUUCAUUACUUUUUGCUUAUGCAGCUUGCUAGGAUAUAUAUGUGAGAGUAGAGGAAGCAUAAUCUUUUCUUAGGGGGCUACACGUCGUGUAAUGAAACAUUUGUG